CCUAUGGUGUAGUGGUAGCACGAAGGACUCUGAAUCCUUCGACCCGAGUUCGAAUCUCGGUAG
rnacentral:tRNA from 1 species